UUAUAUAAAUAAUAAAAAACAAGAUUACAAUACAAGUCUUUCAAAAGUAUUCUGGAAUUAACGGAUGCAAUUUGAUAAAACUUGGUGUUGACUAAUAAGUAGGGCACACCCGCCAUUGUUCGGACCAUCGACAGAAAAACGUUCGUGUUUUUCAGAUUUCUCCAUCCAAGACAUAGAUUUGCUGAUGAAUAACAUCGCAAAGAUCUUGGUGUAUUGUCUUCAUACUUGGCCACAACAACCCUUCAAAUAGACCAGACUAAACUAAAUUAACUUGACCACCAUAUUAACAUUCAAGAAGUUCGGCCUACAUGUCAGAUUUAUGAAUGUGAACAGCAGGAUAUCGAUUUUAAGGAUGCUUUAGGGUCAAUGACAAUGAAAUCACGAAAGAUAAAGGCUAAAAUGUGAGACUGUCAAUCUGACUAACCUUGAAGUGAACAAAUGGAAAAAAUGUUUCUUUCAAUAGCAUGGGCUUUUAAGGAAGAGGUAACAGAGGCGCUUAUAUGAUAGAACAGUAAAAGCAGGAGUGAUAAUGAAAGAUACAUGUAGAUGUGUCUUCAUGUCGGAAACACUAAAGAAAUGGAAAUAUUGUGGUUUUAUCAAACUUAAAAGAAAUUGGAAUACCAGGAGACUGCCUGCCCUUUGCAAUGUUGGAUAAAGAGUUCUUAGAUGUGAUGUCGAAUGCCUCAUGAAGCCCAUGACUUAAUCUAAUUAGAAAAAGAAAUGACAUUGAAGAGAAAACUAGUCACCAGUCUUUCACCAAGAACUAGAGAUAACUUUCCAAUAUUUGAAAUAUCAUAAUAUGAGCCGCGUCAUGACAAAACCAACAUAGUAGGUGUGCGACCCAGCAUGGAUCCGAACCAGCCUGCGCCUCCGCGUAGUCUGAUCAGGAUCCAUGCUGUUCGCCAUCAGUUUUUCUACUUGUAAUAGAGUUUGUAAGCGAACAGCAUGGUCCUGAUCAGACUGCGUGGAUGCGCAGGCUGGUCUUGAUCAAUGCUGGUCGCAAACCCAUUAUGUUGGUUUUGUCAUGGCGCUGCUCAUAUGUAUAGAACUUUAUUGAGCCACCAGUUUUUUCACCAGGAAAAUAAGAUCACUUAACUAUUUUUAGCUCACCUGUCACAAAGUGACAGGGUGAGCUUUUUUGAUCGCUUUUCGUCUGGCGUCCGUUCCGUAAACUUUUACUUUAAAUGACAUCUCCUCAUAAACCACUAAGCCAAUUUCAUCCAAACUUCACAGGAAUGUUUCUUUGGUGGUCACCUCUAAAUAUUGUUCAUAGAACACUGGUUGCCAAUGGCAACCAAAAGAAAAAAACUUAAAGUAUUUUCCUUUAAAGAACCCAAAGAGCUAGAGCUUAGACAAAGUAUCUUCUUUUAAAGGUAUGAAACAUCUUCUAGUGAGUGUCUACCAAGUUUGUUCAAAUAAAAGCCCUGGGGUCAAAAUUGGCCCCUCCCCAGGGGUCAUUGAAUUUCCCUAUAUGCAUAUAGUAAAAACUUAAAAAAAUCUUCUUUGAAAAAACCAAAAUAGCUAGAGUUUAGAUAUUAAGCAUGAAACAUCUUCUGGUAAGUGUGUACAAGGUUUGUUCAAAUAAAAGCCCUGGGGUCAAAACUGGCCCCGCCCCAGGGGUUUCAUUGUUUUUAACUAUUUGUGUAAAGUAAAAACUUAAAAAAAUCUUCUUUUAAAAAACCCAAUGAACUAGAGCCUAGAUGUUUAGCAUGAAACAUCUUAUGGUGUCGACCAAGUUUGUUCAAAUUUAAGCCCUUGUAUAAAAAUUGGCCAUGCCGGGGUGGGUGGUGGUGCAGAGGUCUUUGUUUUACAUCAUAUGUGUGUAGUAAAAACUUAACAUCAUGAAACAUCUUCUAACGGGUGUCUUACAAGUUUGGUCAAAUAAAAGCCCUGGGGUUUAAACUGGCCCCGCUCCAGGGGCCUAUAUAUAUACAUGGCCCUCUUGUUGAAAUAUGUAUGAACAAAUCUUUAUCAACUUCAAGCUUUUAUUGAAGGUAUUUGAAAUAACUUGGCACAAAUGAUUGUUAUAAUAAGACAAUGAGUCAUGUCAACAACCAGACCCCUACCUCCAGGGUCAAGGUCGCACUUGCUCAUUCAAGGUCAACAUUGUCUAUUUGAAAGUAUAUCUCGUGUCCGGUCUAUAACUUUCCUAUCUCUAAAGGGAUUUUGUAAAUACUUGCCACAAUUGCUCACAAUAAUGAGAAGAUGUGUCAUGCUCAACAACAGGUCACCUGCCUCCAAGGUCAAGGUCACACUUGGAGGUCAAAUAUUAGCACAGCCUGUUUACAGGGUAUAUUUCGUGUCCGGUCCAUAACUUUGUCAUUUAUUGAAGGAAUUUGAAAUAACUUGGCACAAAUGUUUGUUAUAAUAAGACGAUGAUGUGCAACAACCAGACCCCUACCUUCAGGGUUAAGGUCACACUUGCUCAUUCAAGGUCAACAUUGUCCAUUUGAGGGUAUAUCUCGUGUCCAGUCUAUACCUUUCUUAUCUUUGAAGGGAUUUUGUAAAUACUUGCCACAAUUGUUCACAACAAUGACAUGAUGUGUCAUGCGCAACAAUCGGUCACCAACCUACAAGGUCAAGGUCACACUUGGAGGUCUAAGAUUAACAUAGCCUGUUAUAGGGGUAUUUUUUUGUCCGGUCCAUAACUUUUUUUGUAUAUCAAAGGAUUUUGAAAAAAUUGGCACAAAUAUUCACUAUAAUAAGACAAUGUGUCAUGCGCAUCACCUGCAUCCCUACCUCCAAGGUAAGGGUCACAUUUCGAGGUAAAAAAUUAACAUUGUUUUUUUUAAAGGGUAUAUAUUGUGUCCAAUGUAGAACUUCUUCAUAGUUCAAGGGAUUUUGAAAUAACUUGGCACAAAUAGUCAAAAUAAUAAGACGAUAUGUCAGUUACAACACUUGCACCCCUGCCUCCAAGGUCAAGGUCACACUUAGAGGUAUAAAGGUAACAAAGUCUGUUAUAUGGUAUAUUUUAUGCCCCGUCCAUAACUUCUUCAUAGAUGAAGGGAUUUGGAAAAUACUUGGCACAAGUAGUCACAAUGAUAAGAUGAUAUGUCAUGCACAGCAC